rnacentral:rRNA from 1 species
UACGGAGGGUGCAAGCGUUAAUCGGAAUUACUGGGCGUAAAGGGCGCGUAGGCGGCCUUAUAAGUCAUGUGUGAAAGCUCUGGGCUCAACCCAGGAAUUGCAUGUGAUACUGUAAGGCUUGAGUUCGGUAGAGGAGGGCGGAAUUCCAGGUGUAGCGGUGAAAUGCGUAGAUAUCUGGAGGAACACCCGUGGCGAAGGCGGCUCUCUGGUCCGAAACUGACGCUGAGGUGCGAAAGCUAGGGUAGCAAACAGG